UGAGUUCGUACAAUCCUCGUUAAGCAACCGCACCAGCGCUGAAAACCGGCCUACCUCCAUAAUUAUGGUACCCAGUUUGAGCGGAGAAAUCCUGCGUCAUCCACCUGCCCUGGUUGGCGUCAUCCUCGAGCGUCGCUGCUCUCGCACACACCACCAACACAACAGCACCACACAAAGCCUCGACACACCAAAUGUUCCUCAACAUUGUCUCCUCAACGGGGACGGAGCGUCCAAACUUCAACACAACUCGAUCAUGCACAGUUGGAUUUCCCGGUGGAACGACGCAAGAGGCAUUUUUAUGACAAGAACGGAACGGGCGACGCCGUCAGCAACCGCAGCUACUCAAAGGAGUCCAACUGCAAAUAGGACGUCUGUCCACUUAUGCCGCUUUCCUUUCACAAUCCUUCAUGCCGUAUGCCGAACAUGUCGGUGACAUCGCCAGAGGAGAAGGAGGAGGGGGAAGAGGAGAAAGAGGGGAUUGGUGAAGGUCGCAUAGGUAUAGCUCGCUCGUUACGAGCUUUGAGUCACCGGAGCAGAAGAUACUUCCGUGGCCAGAAGAUGGAAUAACGGUUGUGAUGUUGUCGGAUACUACGCCGUCCAUCACCUGCUGUCAGCGGGCCAAAAAAACAGAAAGGGAGAAAAGAAGAAGAACAGCAGCUUUAUUUUGAUUAUAUGUGGAUCGAAAAAGAAGAACAGACUGAGUUAUAGAGUAACCAAUUUUACUCUUCGUAAACACGCAGGCCAAGUAAAAAAAAAAAAUCUUGCGGCUCACAUGAGGCUGAUGAACAUUUGAAUUAGUGGAGAUUAGAGUCAUCAUAAAGAGGUAUCCUCAGCACCUGCGGACAGGAUAAAUACUGCGAUUGUUGCACGGCGAUACAUGUGGCUUUCAUUAUUUUUUAAAUAAAAUUCAAUGAGAU